GAUGAACGCUGGCGGCGUGCCUAAUACAUGCAAGUCGAGCGAACAGACGCGGCUCUUGCUCCGCUGACGUUAGCGGCGGACGUGUGAGUCACACGUGUAUACCCUCCCUAUCAUACUGGGAUCACUUCGGGAAUCCGGCUCUAAUACCGUAUAAUAUAUUGCACCGCAUGGGUCAAUAGUGAAAGUCGGUUUUGCUGUCACUUAUAGAUGGAUCCGCGCCGCAUUAGCUAGUUGGUAAGGUAACGGCUUACCAAGGCAACGAUGCGUAGCCGAGCUGAGAGGGUGAUCGGCCACACGGGAAGGGGGACGCGGUCCAGACUCCUGCGGGAGGCCGCAGUAGGGAAUCUGACGCAAUGGGCGAGAGUCUGACGGAGCAACGCCGCGUGAGUGAUGAAGGUCUUCGGAUCGUAAAGCUCUGUUAUUGGGGAAGAACAGAUGUGGAAGUAACUAUGGACGUCUUGACGGUACCUAGUCAGGAAGCCACGGCUAACUACGUG
rnacentral:rRNA from 1 species